UUUUUUCCGUAAAGUUUAAUUCAUUGUAUCAUCAUCACUUUUUUCUAUUUAUUCUUAAGUUUAUUUUUGUACAAAUAUUUUUUUCAGUAUAAACUUUCAAAAUUUGCACAGGUGCAAUGUUGUAGUUUUGCUGUGUUGCAAACGUUGUUGUCAGUCAAACAAAAUUUGUAAAAACACCUUCUUUUAAUUUUGUUUCAAAAAAUAUCAAAAAUUUCAUUUAUACAUCCAACGCUCAAGUAAAUUACUCGAAAAUUACACAGAACACAAGUCCUUAUUAAAUGAAGAAUUUUUAAAGUGUAUCGUAAAAAUAAUUUACUUGUUUCAAAACUGUUAAAAUGAAAAUGCGAAUAUAUAAAAAACAGAAGCAAUUGGUAAAUAUCACAGAUUAACGAAUUAUUUAUUUUUUUUUUUAAGAAAAAUAGAUACUAGAACACUAGGAAACUAUAAAGAUAUUACCAGUAACGCGCGUGUUAAAAUUAGUAUGAAAGUUUCCA